rnacentral:rRNA from 1 species
CAGCCCCGCGGGAAAACGAAGGGGGCUAGCGUUGUUCGGAAUUACUGGGCGUAAAGCGUGCGUAGGUGGUGGUUUAAGUCCGUUGUGAAAGCCCUGGGCUCAACCCGGGAAUUGCAGUGGAUACUGGAUCACUAGAGUGUGGUAGAGGAUAGUGGAAUUUCCGGUGUAGCAGUGAAAUGCGUAGAGAUCGGAAGGAACAUCUGUGGCGAAGGCGACUAUCUGGGCCAACACUGACACUGAGGCACGAAAGCGUGGGGAGCAACCAGGAUUAGAUACCCCCGUAGUCCCUGUCUCUUAUACA